CAGGUUUGACUGUAUUCGCAAAAUAGUGAUAGGCAAUAUUGCUGUAACUGAAUUCUGAGAAAUUGUUUUUAUUUAUUCCAGGUAGGACGCUUUUUCAGUCACGAAGAGCAGCUGAGGCCUGGGUAGACUGUUAAUAACCUCAAGAUGAAUUGAUCAUACACCAUGGUGACGCCUGAGAGUGACUAGCCGAUAGGUUUUAUGUCUACCGAAUAGUGUAUGUACCGGUGACACUCGCAUGAUAAAAUUAGCGUCGAAUAUUUUUUUUUCUUGCGGUGCAAGUUUCAAUGGCUCCUUGUGAAAGAAAAAUGGAAAUUUCAAUUUUCUUUACUUCACUAUUCCCAAUCGAGCAGGGACAAAAAUUGCUCCUGUGCAUGUGCCGAUGAAUUUAUUUGGUUUGUAAGCCGCGGCAAUGAAAAGGAUGACGCAUUUUCUCACCCAAAGUUAAUGUUUACGAUCUGGAAUAUCCGCGAAGUUCAUAGUCAU